UUUGAUUGUACCGCCUUUGGCUUUUAUUGGCUUUUAUUGGCUUUUAUUGUACAUCCGUUUCAAAACCAAUGCUCCAUCCUCCAAUCCAUCACCAUCUUCAAUUGAAUACUAGCAAUCAAAAUCGAUGAAGGAGGAUUGGUAUCAAGAACCAUAGAUCUAUUAAUAAUUAUGUAUUCCUCUGUUUCUUCAUCGAUUUUUUUCCUUAUUUUGAUAUAUGUAAUGCGUAAUCCUACUCAUUGAUGUCCUGAACGAUUAGGGUUUUACUUCUCUCUUGAGUCGGUUGCUGCAAGGAGGAUUGGUAUCAAAAACCACUCCCUCAAAGAGAUUGAGCGCCAAUUCCAUUACAGCCGUUUCCUUUUCUCGCUAGACCUCACAUCCGUUGCUGGUGAUGCCGUUUUGAUGUCUAAAAAGCUUUUCACUGGUGGCUAGGGUUUGUAUGGUCCAAGAACGGUCCCUUUCUUUUCUAGAAUGUUAAUUAAUCAGGGUUGUUUUUGAAGCCCUAGAUAUCGCAUGCAUCUUACUUCUGGUUGAAGCCUCUUAAAUCUAAACAUUCAAGCAUCAGUUUUGUCGGACACCAAUCCCUAAUAAUCAACGCUGACGCUGGUCUCUUAGAACAUUCGGCGGAUGCGAAUAUGCAAGGACAAAGACGCGAAGCCUCAAGUGUGGUUAUCGGCAAUUAUAUCGCAAAGAGGAGUCUACUUGAUGUUGUUUUGGUUGUCUCCUACGAUUGUAGCGUGUGUGACAUCUUAUACAUGUUAUUACAUUGGAAUUCCGCUUGAUGCCACCAAUGCAUUCACGUUUCUCGCAACGAUUCAGAUCAUUCAAGAGCCAAUUCAUCUUAUUGCUGAUACUGCAUCCGUGUUAAUAGAAGCAAGGGUGGCACUAACACGUAUUCUUAAUUUUUUGGAGACACCCGAGUUGCAAAAAGAACAAAAGAAGCAUGUAAAUGUCUGACACCAAUCGCUAAUAAUCAACGCUGACGCUGAUCUCUUAGAACAUUUGACGGAUAUAUGCAUAGAGUAUUCUUCGGCAACGGAGUUGGUAAUAUGCUGGUGAUUGCCGCUCCAAUGACUUGCUGGGAGUGUGAAUUCUGUUUCUUAAAAAGUUGUUGAAUCAACAUGAGUUAUCAGCAAUGCAGGUCAAGUGGUCAAGUUUCUGAUGUUGCAGCCAUUAAUGUCUAUGCGACCGUUAAUGCCAAGUUUGGAAGCAGCCGCGAUUGUCGAAACUCGCGGUUUGCCUAUUGAUUUGCUCACAAAAAGUUUGAAUUGUAUUACGGUGGGGACAAGUCUGAAUCGUAGUAAUGCUUGGUGAUAAUGGCAUUGGGAAGACAACGUUUAUGCAUAUGCUGGUUAAAGUUGGCAAUUCUCCUACAUACAUACAGGUUAGAAAGAAAACUUGGUAAAGGAGGCUUUGGUCAAGUUUAUGUAGGAAGAAAGGUGAUUGGUAGUUUGGGAAACACAGGCCCUGUUGAGGUUGCUUUGAAAUUGGAGCAUAGAAAUGGCAAGGGAUGUGGUUAUUGUUCUCCAUAUAAGUGGCAAG